rnacentral:misc_RNA from 1 species
CGGACACUUUUGUACGUGGCAUGAGAAGGCGAAGUCCCUUACACACGACACGAAGUCCCUUACACACGACACGAGAAAUAGCACUUUGCUCUGCCUCGUCUCCUCCUCCUCCACUGUAAAUACUUUCCUUUCCUUCCAAAUAUUCCCUCAAUCCAAACACAAUAUCCAAAUCCACUCAAAGUUCAGUUUUUUUUUUUUUUUGGUUUUUAAAUUAUUGUUCUAGGGUUUUUCCGUUUCUCAUGGGUAUUCGUAGUCUCGUUCUGAGUUAGCGGUUUUUUUGUUCGAUCAUUGUCAUAUAUGUUGGGUAAUCAUAGGGUGAAGAAUGAGUAAGAUAUAUGGGUUUGAACUCAACGCAGAAAUGUGAUUUUACAUUUUAUUUGACUAGUAUGUUUACCCAUCUAGUUGGACGGGAUUUAGACUUUAGUUUUACUUAGACCUCUUGCUUUUCCAUGUGUUAUGGGUAGAUUGGUAUUGCCUUUCCCGGGGGCAUCUGGUUUCACAAUUUAUUAUUGACAUAUUUUGGUUCUUCAUGCAUUGGUAUGACGUAUGCAUGCUCUUAAACCGAUUUCUCAUAGGUCUUGUGUCUCUGGCUAAGUUCUUUCUCUAUUGUUUGCAGAUUCUGGUUGCUUGCCAUAAUCUAAACAUUAUGCGCUCUUUCUGUGUGCUAUUUAAAAAUUAAGUAUUGGUCAAUCAUGUGUGAACUGUGCUUAUACUUUUAACUUGUAUGAACUCCCACUUAUAGUUCAUCCAAAGGAACAUGCGUUCUUGCUAUCCUGAAUGAUGAGCUUCUGGCUAAGUAUUUUGAAUUCUUCCUAGGAUUGUUAAUUUUUGUUUUAAGUGGCCGUAAGCCUUCUUGACUAGAUAAGAGUUCUUAUGCUAAGAAUCAAUUUGGUGGAUUCGGAUAUACACUACUUAUGUAGUGAUUAUAUCUGAUUACAAUGUCCAGGCAGAAAUAAUGGCAGCUGCAAAAUUGCCGUUUCUAUGGAGAACACCUCCAUAUUAAGUGUUUGUUUUGACGCAGGAACUUCUAAAGAAAAUUGAGCUUUAUCUGGGCUCGCCAACUUCUCUGCAAAACAUUUGUAUUGGCUUGGAAACUUACUUGCUUGCCUGCUCUCCUUCCACUCACAGAUGGAAUCAUCCUGCAUUUUCUUCACUCGACCAUCCGUAACUCACCCACUACACCGCCCAAAAGUUGCCAUUUCUCAAGAAUGGUCAUGGCGGGAUCAAUCAAUUUAUUAUGCCAUGCCUACCACUACUGAUAAUAGGGGGAUCAAUGAAAUCUGUCUUGCCAUGCCUUCCAUUUCUGAACUUGUGCUGUCUGAAUGGCGAAACCUUGCUUAGCAAUGACAUCUCAGACCUGAAACUUUGGUUUAAAACUCUUAAAUGCCAACAUCUUGAUUUAGUUCAUCAUGCAACGCCUCUACAUCCUUAUGUGCAUCAGCCCAUCAAGUAUAUGCAGGUGUUGUAUAAAUUUUAAGCUUUAUGAGGAAAGAAAUCCUGAUUUGGCUGAUGUGCUCAGGUUGAGUGGAUAUGGGUCCAAGGUAAUGCAUAGUCAAUUUUAUCUCUCAUUGAAUUACACUAUUGCAGGUUUUGCCUUCGUUUAUUUUGAGGAUGAACGCGAUGCAGCUGAUGCUAUACGUGGACUUGACAACACACCAUUUGGUUAUGACAGACGUAGGCUAUCAGUGGAGUGGGCUAGGGGGGAACGUGGUCGGCAUCGUGAUGGGUCCAGGUCAUUCGCAAACCAGAAGCCCACUAAGACCCUUUUUGUAAUUAAUUUUGAUCCAAUUUGCACUAGGGUUGAGGACAUAAAGAGACACUUUGAAAGAUAUGGAGAGGUUCUUCAUGUCAGAAUUCGGAGGAAUUUUGCAUUUGUGCAGUUUGAGACACAGGAAGAUGCUACCAAAGCCCUUGAGUGUACGCACAUGAGCAAAAUAUUGGACAGGGUGGUGUCAGUUGAGUACGCUUUGAGGGAUGACGGUGAGAGGGACGACAGAGAUGGUAGUCCUAGGAGAGGAAGUUAUCAUGGGAGGUCUCCUAGUCCUGUAUAUCGCAGGAGACCUAGUCCUGACUACGGCAGAGCUCGCAGCCCUGAGUACGAUAGGUACAAUGGCCCAGCUUAUGACAGGCGUAGGAGUCCUGAUUAUGGUAGGACUCGAAGCCCUGGGUAUGGCAGAUAUCGCAGUCGAUCACCAGUUAGAAGAUCCAGAACAUGAUGGGAUGUAACGGUUGAAGCAUACUGCUUUCUUCUAUGUGCAAUUGUGGACUCAUCUAGUUGCAAUAGCUUUAGAUCUGUCAUGUACAGAGAGCAUUUUGGCACACUGUAGUAUGAUUUUUAUUGCAUGCAGACUAUGUGGAUAUGACAGAUGAUUUUCAUCAAUCAAAACUGUUAGAAUGAUGUGAUUUUAUGCCUUGAUCUUGUAGUAGAGUAGGCGUUUUGGCGUUCUUUACAUCCAGGAAGUUGAACGGCCAGCAUCAUCAUCCUCUUUUACUGAAGAAUGGUUUUGAUGCAUGCAAAGUGCAUCUCUUGAUAUGCUAAGAGAUGGGUCAUUGUGGUUUUCAUGUUCAAUCAAUCAUAUACUGAGAGAUGGUCCUCUUCGUUGAACAGCAUCUCUUUGUUUAAACAUAGUUGCAUACGGUAAUCAUCCAUUUAAAUCAUAUUCAUUCAUUAAAACUUCCCGAAAAAAUAAAAUAAAAAGUGAUGCCAUCUUACUAAAUGCCAAAUUGGUAAAGUUAAAGGAACUUAAUGUGACGAUUUUCUCAACUCUUGAUCAAGUGCCUUCUCAAGCCAUGUUUCAGCAUUAUCCAUCAUUUCAGGGCUAAGCCUCACCAUCAGGAUGCAAAAUUCUGUUUCAUUAAGUGCUCCAUCCCCAUCAAGGUCUCCUUCUCUUACCAUCACCUCCGCGUCCUCUUUGCUCAUCCCCUGCAUGCCUAGAAGAGCUGAAUUUCUCCUCAGACUCUCUGAUGUGAUCAACCCUUUGUGGGGGUCUGCUAGAAGCCGAAAGCCACCGCAUAGUUCAGCAACAAAAUCAUCUGCAUCGAGCUUAUCUGCCAUGACCGGUAACAAAUCCUGAAACACGCUGCUUGUUGCAGGUUUAGUGCCAAUUUGAUCCUUCUCCAUCUCUCUCGAAGGUGAAAGGAGCUCUCAAGUUUAAAUUUGUUAAACAGUGUGACGUGGACAAAAGUAUAGUUUCAGAGGUGGACUUGCAUCUAUA